GGGUUGUGAGGUUAAGCGACUAAGCGUACACGGUGGAUGCCCUGGCAGUCAGAGGCGAUGAAGGGCGUGCUAAUCUGCGAUAAGCGCCGGUAAGGUGAUAUGAACCGUUAUAACCGGCGAUACCCGAAUGGGGAAACCCAGUGUGAUUCGUCACACUAUCAUUAACUGAAUCCAUAGGUUAAUGAGGCGAACCGGGGGAACUGAAACAUCUAAGUACCCCGAGGAAAAGAAAUCAACCGAGAUUCCCCCAGUAGCGGCGAGCGAACGGGGAGGAGCCCAGAGCCUGAAUCAGCAUGUGUGUUAGUGGAAGCGUCUGGAAAGGCGCGCGAUACAGGGUGACAGCCCCGUACACAAAAGCGCAUGUGCUGUGAGCUCGAUGAGUAGGGCGGGACACGUGGUAUCCUGUCUGAAUAUGGGGGGACCAUCCUCCAAGGCUAAAUACUCCUGACUGACCGAUAGUGAACCAGUACCGUGAGGGAAAGGCGAAAAGAACCCCGGCGAGGGGAGUGAAAAAGAACCUGAAACCGUGUACGUACAAGCAGUGGGAGCACAGGUUUACCUGUGUGACUGCGUACCUUUUGUAUAAUGGGUCAGCGACUUAUAUUCUGUAGCAAGGUUAACCGAAUAGGGGAGCCGGAGGGAAACCGAGUCUUAAUUGGGCGUUAAGUUGCAGGGUAUAGACCCGAAACCCGGUGAUCUAGCCAUGGGCAGGUUGAAGGUUGGGUAACACUAACUGGAGGACCGAACCGACUAAUGUUGAAAAAUUAGCGGAUGACCUGUGGCUGGGGGUGAAAGGCCAAUCAAACCGGGAGAUAGCUGGUUCUCCCCGAAAGCUAUUUAGGUAGCGCCUCGUGAAUUCAUCUCCGGGGGUAGAGCACUGUUUCGGCUAGGGGGCCAUCCCGGCUUACCAACCCGAUGCAAACUGCGAAUACCGGAGAAUGUUAUCACGGGAGACACACGGCGGGUGCUAACGUCCGUCGUGAAGAGGGAAACAACCCAGACCGCCAGCUAAGGUCCCAAAGUCAUGGUUAAGUGGGAAACGAUGUGGGAAGGCCCAGACAGCCAGGAUGUUGGCUUAGAAGCAGCCAUCAUUUAAAGAAAGCGUAAUAGCUCACUGGUCGAGUCGGCCUGCGCGGAAGAUGUAACGGGGCUAAACCAUGCACCGAAGCUGCGGCAGCGACGCUUAUGCGUUGUUGGGUAGGGGAGCGUUCUGUAAGCCUGUGAAGGUGGCCUGUGAGGGUUGCUGGAGGUAUCAGAAGUGCGAAUGCUGACAUAAGUAACGAUAAAGCGGGUGAAAAGCCCGCUCGCCGGAAGACCAAGGGUUCCUGUCCAACGUUAAUCGGGGCAGGGUGAGUCGACCCCUAAGGCGAGGCCGAAAGGCGUAGUCGAUGGGAAACGGGUUAAUAUUCCCGUACUUGGUGUUACUGCGAAGGGGGGACGGAGAAGGCUAUGUUGGCCGGGCGACGGUUGUCCCGGUUUAAGCGUGUAGGUGUGUGUUCCAGGUAAAUCCGGUUCACUUUAACACUGAGGCGUGAUGACGAGGCACUACGGUGCUGAAGUAACAAAUGCCCUGCUUCCAGGAAAAGCCUCUAAGCAUCAGGUAACAUCAAAUCGUACCCCAAACCGACACAGGUGGUCAGGUAGAGAAUACCAAGGCGCUUGAGAGAACUCGGGUGAAGGAACUAGGCAAAAUGGUGCCGUAACUUCGGGAGAAGGCACGCUGACACGUAGGUGAAGUGAUUUACUCAUGGAGCUGAAGUCAGUCGAAGAUACCAGCUGGCUGCAACUGUUUAUUAAAAACACAGCACUGUGCAAACACGAAAGUGGACGUAUACGGUGUGACGCCUGCCCGGUGCCGGAAGGUUAAUUGAUGGGGUCAGCGCAAGCGAAGCUCCUGAUCGAAGCCCCGGUAAACGGCGGCCGUAACUAUAACGGUCCUAAGGUAGCGAAAUUCCUUGUCGGGUAAGUUCCGACCUGCACGAAUGGCGUAAUGAUGGCCAGGCUGUCUCCACCCGAGACUCAGUGAAAUUGAACUCGCUGUGAAGAUGCAGUGUACCCGCGGCAAGACGGAAAGACCCCGUGAACCUUUACUAUAGCUUGACACUGAACAUUGAGCCUUGAUGUGUAGGAUAGGUGGGAGGCUUUGAAGCGUGGACGCCAGUCUGCGUGGAGCCGACCUUGAAAUACCACCCUUUAAUGUUUGAUGUUCUAACGUGGACCCGUGAUCCGGGUUGCGGACAGUGUCUGGUGGGUAGUUUGACUGGGGCGGUCUCCUCCUAAAGAGUAACGGAGGAGCACGAAGGUUGGCUAAUCCUGGUCGGACAUCAGGAGGUUAGUGCAAUGGCAUAAGCCAGCUUGACUGCGAGCGUGACGGCGCGAGCAGGUGCGAAAGCAGGUCAUAGUGAUCCGGUGGUUCUGAAUGGAAGGGCCAUCGCUCAACGGAUAAAAGGUACUCCGGGGAUAACAGGCUGAUACCGCCCAAGAGUUCAUAUCGACGGCGGUGUUUGGCACCUCGAUGUCGGCUCAUCACAUCCUGGGGCUGAAGUAGGUCCCAAGGGUAUGGCUGUUCGCCAUUUAAAGUGGUACGCGAGCUGGGUUUAGAACGUCGUGAGACAGUUCGGUCCCUAUCUGCCGUGGGCGCUGGAGAACUGAGGGGGGCUGCUCCUAGUACGAGAGGACCGGAGUGGACGCAUCACUGGUGUUCGGGUUGUCAUGCCAAUGGCACUGCCCGGUAGCUAAAUGCGGAAGAGAUAAGUGCUGAAAGCAUCUAAGCACGAAACUUGCCCCGAGAUGAGUUCUCCCUGAGACUUAAAGUCUCCUGAAGGAACGUUGAAGACGACGACGUUGAUAGGCCGGGUGUGUAAGCGCAGCGAUGCGUUGAGCUAACCGGUACUAAUGAACCGUGAGGCUUAACCCUACAACGCCGAAG
rnacentral:rRNA from 1 species